UUGUUAUCAAGAAAGGCUGAGGGAAUAGACCCGCAGAAGCCUUAGCAACCCUUUGCAAACAAAGAAGGUGCUACGUUCUACCGAUUUUCGGAUAGAUAACAG
rfam:Zunongwangia profunda SM-A87, complete genome.